GACAGAGGGUGCAAACGUUGUUCGGAAUUACUGGGCGUAAAGCGUGUGUAGGCGGUCUACUAAGUCGGGUGUGAAAGCCCUGGGCUCAACCCAGGAAGUGCACUCGAAACUGGCAGGCUAGAGUACUGGAGAGGUUGGUGGAAUUCUCGGUGUAGAGGUGAAAUUCGUAGAUAUCGAGAGGAACACCGGUGGCGAAGGCGCACAUCUGGCCCGAUACUGACGCUGAGGCGCGAAAGCUAGGGGAGCAAACGGG
rnacentral:rRNA from 1 species